rnacentral:rRNA from 1 species
CUCAGGAUGAACGCUAGCUACAGGCUUAACACAUGCAAGUCGAGGGGCAUCAGGAAGAAAGCUUGCUUUCUUUGCUGGCGACCGGCGCACGGGUGAGUAACACGUAUCCAACCUGCCCUUUACUCGGGGAUAGCCUUUCGAAAGAAAGAUUAAUACCCGAUAGCAUAAUGAUUCCGCAUGGUUUCAUUAUUAAAGGAUUCCGGUAAAGGAUGGGGAUGCGUUCCAUUAGGUUGUUGGUGAGGUAACGGCCCACCAAGCCUUCGAUGGAUAGGGGUUCUGAGAGGAAGGUCCCCCACAUUGGAACUGAGACACGGUCCAAACUCCUACGGGAGGCAGCAGUGAGGAAUAUUGGUCAAUGGGCGCUAGCCUGAACCAGCCAAGUAGCGUGAAGGAUGAAGGCUCUAUGGGUCGUAAACUUCUUUUAUAUAAGAAUAAAGUGCAGUAUGUAUACUGUUUUGUAUGUAUUAUAUGAAUAAGGAUCGGCUAACUCCGUGCCAGCAGCCGCGGUAAUACGGAGGAUCCGAGCGUUAUCCGGAUUUAUUGGGUUUAAAGGGAGCGUAGGUGGACUGGUAAGUCAGUUGUGAAAGUUUGCGACUCAACCGUAAAAUUGCAGUUGAUACUGUCAGUCUUGAGUACAGUAGAGGUGGGCGGAAUUCGUGGUGUAGCGGUGAAAUGCUUAGAUAUCACGAAGAACUCCGAUUGCGAAGGCAGCUCACUGGACUGCAACUGACACUGAUGCUCGAAAGUGUGGGUAUCAAACAGGAUUAGAUACCCUGGUAGUCCACAUAGUAAACGAUGAAUACUCGCUGUUUGCGAUAUACAGUAAGCGGCCAAGCGAAAGCAUUAAGUAUUCCACCUGGGGAGUACGCCGGCAACGGUGAAACUCAAAGGAAUUGACGGGGGCCCGCACAAGCGGAGGAACAUGUGGUUUAAUUCGAUGAUACGCGAGGAACCUUACCCGGGCUUAAAUUGCAGUGGAAUGAUGUGGAAACAUGUCAGUGAGCAAUCACCGCUGUGAAGGUGCUGCAUGGUUGUCGUCAGCUCGUGCCGUGAGGUGUCGGCUUAAGUGCCAUAACGAGCGCAACCCUUAUCUUUAGUUACUAACAGGUCAUGCUGAGGACUCUAGAGAGACUGCCGUCGUAAGAUGUGAGGAAGGUGGGGAUGACGUCAAAUCAGCACGGCCCUUACGUCCGGGGCUACACACGUGUUACAAUGGGGGGUACAGAAGGCAGCUACCUGGCGACAGGAUGCUAAUCCCAAAAACCUCUCUCAGUUCGGAUCGAAGUCUGCAACCCGACUUCGUGAAGCUGGAUUCGCUAGUAAUCGCGCAUCAGCCAUGGCGCGGUGAAUACGUUCCCGGGCCUUGUACACACCGCCCGUCAAGCCAUGAAAGCCGGGGGUACCUGAAGUACGUAACCGCAAGGAGCGUCCUAGGGUAAAACUGGUA